CUGGAACUUCACCGCUUCGUCUGCCUGGGAACAAACAAGAGAGAGUCAGCAAGAGGAAAAAGAAGAAGAAAAGAGGGAGAGAGUCGAGAGAGAACGGUGGAAGAGAGAGAAGAAGAAGGAAAGAGGAAGAAAGGGGAAAAAGGAGAGAAACCUAGGGCUUGUUCUAUUUGAGUUGAAUUGGAGUGCUAAUCUGGCAACGAGGAGUAGAGUGGCGGCGAGGAGCCUUUCUUUUGGACGUGCUAUGUGAAUAGUUGACUAGCUAGAAAGUUUGUAACUUAACUUUACUUUGGUUUAGUAAGUGUUUGUACAUGGAUUAAGAGUUUGUUGAUACGCAUAGCUCUAAGGAAUUUUGGCUUGUAAGAUACGUUUGUUGAGUUAAUGUAAUAAAAUGGUUUGUUCUUCCGCUA